rnacentral:sRNA from 1 species
GCUGGGUGUGGUGGCGCACACCUGUAAUCCCAGCUACUUGGGAGGCUGAGGCAGGAGAAUCGCUUGAACCCAGGAUGCAGAGGUGGCAGUGAGCCGAGAUUGUGCUGCUGCACUCCAGCCUGGACGACACAGUGAGACUCAGUCUCAA